rnacentral:rRNA from 1 species
AACGAACGCUGGCGGCAUGCCUAACACAUGCAAGUCGAACGAGACCUUCGGGUCUAGUGGCGCACGGGUGCGUAACGCGUGGGAAUCUGCCCUUGGGUUCGGAAUAACAGUUGGAAACGACUGCUAAUACCGGAUGAUGACGUAAGUCCAAAGAUUUAUCGCCCAAGGAUGAGCCCGCGUAGGAUUAGCUGGUUGGUGAGGUAAAGGCUCGCCAAGGCGACGAUCCUUAGCUGGUCUGAGAGGAUGAUCAGCCACACUGGGACUGAGACACGGCCCAGACUCCUACGGAAGGCAGCAGUGGGGUAUAUUGGACGAUGGACGAAAGCCUGGUCCAGCAGUGCCGCGUGAGUGAUGAAGGCCUUAGGGUUGUAAAGCUCUUUUACCCGGGAUGAUAAUGACAGUACCGGGAAAAUAAGCACCGGCUAACUCCGUG